UACGAAGGGGGCUAGCGUUGUUCGGAAUUACUGGGCGUAAAGCGCGCGCAGGCGGUCUUCCAAGUCAGUGGUGAAAGCCCGGAGCUCAACUCCGGAACUGCCAUUGAAACUGUUGGACUUGAGUACGAGAGAGGUGAGUGGAAUUCCCGGUGUAGCGGUGAAAUGCGCAGAUAUCGGGAAGAACACCCGUGGCGAAGGCGGCUCUCUGGGACGGUACUGACGCUGAGACGCGAAAGCGUGGGGAGCGAACAGG
rnacentral:rRNA from 1 species